GUAGGAGACGAGCGUUGUCCGGAAUUACUGGGCGUAAAGCGCGUGUAGGCGGAUGAGCAAGUCUGCUGUGAAAGCUCCUGGCUUAACCGGGAGCGGUCGGUGGAAACUGCUCGUCUGGAGGACGGUAGAGGUAGGUGGAAUUCCCGGUGUAGUGGUGAAAUGCGUAGAGAUCGGGAGGAACACCUGUGGCGAAGGCGGCCUACUGGGCCGGACCUGACGCUGAGACGCGAAGGCGUGGGGAGCGAACGGGAUUAGAUACCCCGGUAGUCCACGCAGUAAACGAUGUGUACUAGGUGUGGCGGGUAUCAAGCCCCGCCGUGCCGGAGCCAACGCUGUAAGUACACCGCCUGGGGAGUACGGCCGCAAGGUUA
rnacentral:rRNA from 1 species